rnacentral:rRNA from 1 species
UUGUUGGACGGGCUUGCCUGUUCAGUAACGAAGCUUACGCGUGAAGUUGACCGCCUGGGGAGUACGGUCCGCAAGGUUGAAACUCAAAGGAACUUUGACGGGGACCCGCACAAGCGGUGGAUGAUGUGGUUUAAUUCGAUGCAACGCGAAAACCUUACCGUACCCUUGACAUGUCUAGAAGUUACCAGAGAUGGUUUCGUGCUCGAAAGAGAACUAGAACACAGGUGCUGCAUGGCCAGUCGUCAGCUCGUGUCGUGAGAUGUUGGGUUAAGUCCCGCAACGAGCAGCAACCCUUAUCAUUAGUUGCUACGCAAGGGCACUCUAAUGAGACUGCCGGUGACAAACCGGAGGAAGGUGGGGAUGACGUCAGGUCAUCAUGGCCCUUAUGGGUAGGGCUACACACGUCAUACAAUGGCCGGUACAGAGGGCUGCCAACCCGCGAGGGGGAGCUAAUCUCAGAAAACCGGUCGUAGUCCGGAUCGCAGUCGUGCAACUCGACUGCGUGAAGUCGGAAUCGCUAGUAAUCGACGGAUCAGCUUGCCGCGGUGAAUACGUUCCCGGGUUUGUACACACCGCCCGACACACCAUGGGAGCGGGUUCUGCCAGAAGUAGUUAGCCUAACCGCAAGGAGGGCGAUUACCACGGCAGGGUUCGUGACUGGGGUGAAGUCGUAACAAGGUAGCCGUAUCGGAAGUGCUGGCUGGAUCACUCUCACUU